GAAUUAACACCGCCGGGUGUCAUUAAACUAGUAUUCCAAAUAAUUCCAUUAGGCCAAUGAAGGGAUUAUUGGGGAUACUUUUUUUUC
rnacentral:ncRNA from 1 species